rnacentral:rRNA from 1 species
UACGUAGGUGGCGAGCGUUAUCCGGAAUUACUGGGCGUAAAGCGCACGCAGGCGGCCAUUUAAGUCUGACGUGAAAGCUCCCGGCUUAACUGGGAGAGGUCGUUGGAAACUGGGUGGCUUGAGGCAAUGAGAGGGGUGUAGAAUUCCUGGUGUAGUGGUGGAAUGCGUAGAUAUCAGGAGGAAUACCAGUGGCGAAAGCGGCACCCUGGCAUUGGCCUGACGCUCAUGUGCGAAAGCGUGGGGAGCGAACGGG